GUACAUGCUCCAAAAAUAAUGCACUGCCACGUUCCUCGGGUUUUUCAAAUACUGCACCAGCUGGUAAAAAGCAUCCAAUAGUGGUAUUUCAAGCAGGCCAGAAUUUUUGCAUUUCUCUGUGCGUGUACUAUAACAGUCAUAAAAUCUGUGAUCGAUGCAUUUGCGUAAGAGUCCUCGGCCCUUAAAAAUAAAUUGAUUUAAAUCUCAUUAAAUUGUCAUAAAUUUAAGUAACAAAUAUUAUGUACAUAUCCUUACAGUACGUGUGCAAAGCAUAUGCUGUUGCGCGACGUAAAUAUUUCUAAUAGCGAACAUUCUUACAAUUGAAAUACUAUGAGAUAGAUAAAUCAGUAAUAUUUAACAUCUAGAAAACUAACCGUUGACAUGUGGACCAGUUCAAUUGUUCUUUAUUUUUGAUAAUAGCUGUAAUAUAUUCAAGCCAAAAGAAACAACUUUCUGUACAGAAUAUUUUUAUUAGACAUGAAUACAUAAUGUAAUUUCGUUUUUAAUGGAAUAAGGCCAUAAUUAUUUAAGUAUGUGACAUAGAAAAAUUAGUAUGUAAAUAAAUAUAACGUUACAGAUUAAAUAUUGCUUUAGAGUUAAUCUUAAAGUACAGUAACAGAAAGUUAAUAAAUGGCAUUAUCAAAAUAUCUGUAUAUCUUAGUACGCAGAUUAGCAUGUAUAUUAUAACAGAGAUGUGUUAAUACAAUUUGGCUUUAUCAUUAAUGAUAAACCACGUGUUAAAAUGGUUAUCUAUCAUUAAGUCCAUUAAGUAUGAAAUAUUUCGUAUGACCAAAAUAGUAUAACAACAAAGCAUAUUGAUUUACUUUUCAUCAUUUAAAAAUUUUAUUUCUGAACACAAUGUUCUCGUCUAUAUCAUAAUUACACCGCAUACGAAAGCAUUAUCUUUUUUUAAACAUAUUUUUGUCUGACAUUUGAUACUUAUGUGAAUAUUAAUAUAUAAUAUAAUAUUACAUAAUAUUAUAUAAUAUUAAUAUACCAAUAUUAUGAUUUAUAAAUACACAUAUAUUCCAAGUAUCCAAAUAUACAGGAUAUAGUUUAUUAUUGAUGAAAUAGUCAAAAAAAAUCUGCUUUAAAAGUCGAAAAUGUAAGAUAAAAUAUGACAUUGUAUUAACUCCAUUAGAAAUAUAAGCCAGUAACUUGAUGAAAUAUAAAUUGAUACAUUUGUUCUUAUUUUUAGUCAUACACAGGGCUACAAUAUUUCAUAUUUUAUGGAUAUCGGCAAUAAAGUUAUACUCGUAAAAAAUAUGGAUUAAAGUGUUAGUUGUAGUGGAGUUUAAUUUAUGACAUUGCACAAUGGUAAUAUAAUAUCAAAAUGUAAAAAUCGACUUAA